AGGAAUAUUGGUCAAUGGACGAGAGUCUGAACCAGCCAAGUAGCGUGAAGGAUGACUGCCCUAUGGGUUGUAAACUUCUUUUAUACGGGAAUAAAGUGAGGCACGUGUGCCUUUUUGUAUGUACCGUAUGAAUAAGGAUCGGCUAACUCCGUGCCAGCAGCCGCGGUAAUACGGAGGAUCCGAGCGUUAUCCGGAUUUAUUGGGUUUAAAGGGAGCGUAGGCGGACGCUUAAGUCAGUUGUGAAAGUUUGCGGCUCAACCGUAAAAUUGCAGUUGAUACUGGGUGUCUUGAGUACAGUAGAGGCAGGCGGAAUUCGUGGUGUAGCGGUGAAAUGCUUAGAUAUCACGAAGAACUCCGAUUGCGAAGGCAGCCUGCUGGACUGUAACUGACGCUGAUGCUCGAAAGUGUGGGUAUCAAACAGG
rnacentral:rRNA from 1 species